CCUACGGGCGGCAGCAGUGGGGAAUAUUGGGCAAUGGGCGCAAGCCUGAACGAGCAAUGCCGCGUGAACGAGGAAGGUCUUCGGAUCGUAAAGUUCUGUUGAAGGGGAAAAAGAGCGGAGAGAGGAAAUGGUCUCCGAUUGAUAUUACCCUUCGAGGAAGUCACGGCUAACUACGUGCCAGCAGCCGCGGUAAUACGUAGGUGGCGAGCGUUAUCCGGAAUGAUUGGGCGUAAAGGGUGCGUAGGCGGCCUGCUAAGUCUGGAGUGAAAGGUACCGGCUCAACCGGUACAGGCUCUGGAAACUGGCGGGCUAGAGAGCAGGAGAGGGCGGUGGAACUCCAUGUGUAGCGGUAAAAUGCGUAGAUAUAUGGAAGAACACCAGUGGCGAAGGCGGCCGCCUGGCCUGUUACUGACGCUGAGGCACGAAAGCGUGGGGAGCAAAUAGGAUUAGAUACCCUAGUAGUC
rnacentral:rRNA from 1 species